UGCGUAGGCGGUUUACUAAGUCAGAUGUGAAAGCCCCGGGCUUAGCCUGGGAACUGCAUUUGAUACUGGUAGGCUAGAGUAUGAUAGAGGGGGGUAGAAUUCCUGGUGUAGCGGUGAAAUGCGUAGAUAUCAGGAGGAAUACCAGUGGCGAAGGCGGCCCCCUGGAUCAAUACUGACGCUGAGGUACGAAAGCGUGGGUAGCGAACA
rnacentral:rRNA from 1 species